UUCAUUGACGCUGGUGCAUCAGCGUUAAACUAGUUUUCACUGGGUCACAACUCAAAUCCUUAUCCAGUCCAUUUUGGAAGCAGUGGACUAUGGGCGAGACUAUUCCAAUGUUUUCUUAUUGCUGUUAAACGAUUUCUUACGUUUUUCAGUGACUGAUCUUGGGAUCUACAAUCUGCUAUCUUGACCACUGGUAGUGGUAGGCCCAUGCACCUUACCUGACCAGAAUCUGGCACUAGCAUAUAUACCUUAAUUCUGGCGAUGAGUUAACUGUGGGUAUGCAAGAGAUUAAAACAUCUGCAAUGUGAAAUCUUCAUAUAAUUCUCAGACUGCAAUAGUAGAACAGAAUGAUUGUACUUUAUUCGGGCAAAGAUCAGGAUAUGUAACGUGAGAUUUAUCAUGUAGAGAUCGAGUUUCUUAAGCUUGUCUUCGCAUUGGAUUCCUACACAUGCUACUGCCUACUCAGCUGGGCCACAGUACAUAUAAUAAAGCCGACAUUCCUUAAAGUAACCAUUCCAAACAGAAUCCUUUAGAAUGACGCUUCAGGGAAUUGGAACUGCCUUUAAAGUCGUCCUAGUCUUCUGUCUAUGCCAAGUGGCGGCGCUCGUGGCAGUACUUUCACUAGCUACCGUCUCGACGAGAUUAGUGCCCUUUAAGUCAACUGACUUUUUCAGAGGUUCUGUCCACUCAAGAUUCAAUUCUACCCUUGCACCACAAACCGAAAGCGGCAAUCAAACCAAUCCCGGAAGUUCGAAUACAGCAACGGUAAAGAGUGAUGAAGGUGGGCGGUUUGUCUUAAUAUAUAU